rnacentral:rRNA from 1 species
UCGACGAAGGAGGAGGCCGUCCGGACGGAAGGGUGGGUUGGUAGACGUGGGGUG